AGCGAACGCUGGCGGCAGGCUUAACACAUGCAAGUCGAGCGGGCGUAGCAAUACGUCAGCGGCAGACGGGUGAGUAACGCGUGGGAACGUACCUUUUGGUUCGGAACAACACAGGGAAACUUGUGCUAAUACCGGAUAAGCCCUUACGGGGAAAGAUUUAUCGCCGAAAGAUCGGCCCGCGUCUGAUUAGCUAGUUGGUAGGGUAAUGGCCUACCAAGGCGACGAUCAGUAGCUGGUCUGAGAGGAUGAUCAGCCACAUUGGGACUGAGACACGGCCCAAACUCCUACGGGAGGCAGCAGUGGGGAAUAUUGGACAAUGGGGGCAACCCUGAUCCAGCCAUGCCGCGUGAGUGAUGAAGGCCCUAGGGUUGUAAAGCUCUUUUGUGCGGGAAGAUAAUGACGGUACCGCAAGAAUAAGCCCCGGCUAACUUCGUGCCAGCCGCCGCGGUAA
rnacentral:rRNA from 1 species